rnacentral:rRNA from 1 species
CACGUAGGCGGAUAUUUAAGUCAGGGGUGAAAUCCCAGAGCUCAACUCUGGAACUGCCUUUGAUACUGGGUAUCUUGAGUAUGGGAGAGGUGUGUGGAACUCCGAGUGUAGAGGUGAAAUUCGUAGAUAUUCGGAAGAACACCAGUGGCGAAGGCGACACACUGGCUCAUUACUGACGCUGAGGCUCGAAAGCGUGGGGAGCAAACA